AUUGAACGCUGGCGGAAUGCUUUACACAUGCAAGUCGAACGGCAGCACGGGUGCUUGCACCUGGUGGCGAGUGGCGAACGGGUGAGUAAUACAUCGGAACGUACCCAGUUGUGGGGGAUAACUAACCGAAAGGUUAGCUAAUACCGCAUACGACCUGAGGGUGAAAGCGGGGGACCGUAAGGCCUCGCGCAAUUGGAGCGGCCGAUGUCUGAUUAGCUAGUUGGUGAGGUAAAGGCUCACCAAGGCGACGAUCAGUAGCAGGUCUGAGAGGAUGAUCUGCCACACUGGAAUUGGGACACGGUCCAGACUCCUACGGGAGGCAGCAGUGGGGAAUUUUGGACAAUGGGCGAAAGCCUGAUUCAGCCAUUCCGCGUGAGUGAAGAAGGCCUUCGGGUUGUAAAGCUCUUUCGGCAGGGAAGAAACGCUCUGGAAUAAUACUCCGGGGUAAUGACGGUACCUGAAGAAGAAGCACCGGCUAACUACGUGCCAGCCGCCGCAGUAAGAC
rnacentral:rRNA from 1 species